UGGUGAAACCAAAAAUGGCGACGCAGACGAUGGACGACAUGAUAGUCCAGCUGAUGGCCAUGGGGUUCGAGCUGCCCGACUGCCAGGAUGCUGUACAGUAUGGGAAAAUCUCAGUCCAAGAAGCUGUGGAGUGGAUAAUCGCUGGUAAACCUGGGAUGGCAAAAGAUAGUGCUCAGCCCACACUGAAGUUGUCAAAGGAUACAAAUGCAGCUUCCUCCAAUCCAUUUGUGAACCCCAUUUCUCUACCCGAACCAUCCGCGAAGCCGGACACGACGGGCCAGGCAGCAUCCUCUUCAGCAGCUGGAGAGCAGGAGGCAGAGGAUCUGGUGGUCAGUCGUCUGCAUCUCUCAUCACAGCAGCGGAAGGUCAAGAACAAGUUUGAAGAAAGAGUGAGAGAAGAAGCACAGAAGCAAGCGAAAGAGGAAAAGAUGAAAGCAAAACAGGAGCGGGCCAGAAUCCUACAGCAAAUUGCAGAGGAUCGGGACAAGGCAAAGGUCAUGAGGGUUCACGGCCUAUCAUCGGAGAACGUUGCUGACUGUGAGUCUCCCAACAAGAAGGCUGCCACAGGGAGUGCCACAGGGAGCUCCACAGGGAGUGCUACAGGGAGCGUCACAAGCCCCGAGACCAAACCAGUUGACAGAUGCACGCUCCAGAUUCGAUUCCCUGAUGGUCGAGUCCUGCGCCAGUCCUUCCAGCCGAGUGACACCCUCGACACCGUGUGGGACUUUGUAUACAGCAGAAACAGAAGCAUGACCAACAUGGCCUUCAUACAGCCAUUUCCUCGUCGAGAAUUCAGCCAAGAAGAACAGAAGCAUAGCUUGGUGGAGUUGGGUUUGACCCCUACAGGGUCACUGGUGCUGCAGAAUAGAAGCACCCCAGCCUCACAGACUGGGUCUCGCACUGAACAGGCCCAGGAUGAUGUUGAGCCGCCAUUAGUGAACCCACCAGAAGCAGUUGGGAAUGCAAAUGCUGCUGCAGAUGCUGCUCCUGAGGAGGAGGAAGCCAUGGAAGAUGAAGCUCCGCCUCCUGGUCCUCCCCCUGGCCUGCCCCACAUGCCAGACAUCCUCCAGAACCCCGCCUACAGAUGGGGACGGGGCCAAAGGCUGGAUAACGAAGAGGACCGAGGGCAAGCUAUGGCUGAAGACCAGGAAGUUGAAGAUGAAGAUGAAGAGGAUGAAGACUUUAUGGGGAACAUUCUUGGUGGUAUGGGAGGGAUGCCGAGAAUGGGAGGUCACCGAGCUAUGAGACAACAGGCGUUUGGAGGAGUUGGUCAGAUGCUGGUAGCACAUGCACAUCCAGGGGAUGACAGGGGACAUCACAGCAGGCCAGCAGCCCAGCUAGCAGCCGAAGCAGCUCGCCACCGAUUCGUUCAGCCAGGCCCUGCCGACCUUGAACCUGAGGUCAUGUGUCAAGGUCAGCAUCUGACCCAUGAUGUGUCAUCCUUACUUCGCUUGUGCAUCUACCGUGUUUCCCGGCGCCUGUGUGACCCCCGCCACCCCCUCCUGUCUCUGGGAGGCAUCGCAGAGGAGUUGGCGCAGAAGUUGCUUCAACAGCUGAUGAAGGAGGGCAAGCUGAAAGCAAAAACACUCCAAGUAUUUGUGCCAUGUUACCUGCGGAAGUUGAUGUUUGACAGCUACCCAUACACAACAAAUGAACUGUUACAUGCAAUCAGAUACCAUGUGAACCUUGUACACUUAAGUCUCUCCUCCUGUACCCUCUUCACUGACCAUGGACUCAAACCACUUGCAGGUUUAAAGAAACUGAAGGUGUUAAACUUGGGAUCAUGCCGUCAACUCUCAAACAAGUGUCUUUCAGCAGUAGCAGAACUUCCAAGUCUUCAAAAUCUGAACCUAGAUAACACUGUCAUAACGGAUGCUGGGUUUAUCGACUACCUCAAGAGCAGCUCCCAUCAACUGUUGCACCUGAACCUGAGCAGAACAGGUGUCAGUCAUGUUGUCAUACCACACCUUAGAGUUUUAUCCAAAUUGAAGUCCCUGUACCUAGAACAGACAAAGGUGUGUAGUUUAUCAGGAAUCCAGGAUUUAAAGGAACUGGAAAUAUUAGAUGUUGCCAACACAGAUAUUGGGACAGACUCUCUGCUGUGUCUGUCUGGUCAUCCAUCACUCACAUGUCUUAGUGUGGCCAAUACAGAGAAUGUGGUGGGAGAUCUCGCCCUGCAGUAUCUCACAGGUUUGAAAUUGCACACUUUAUAUCUUCCAAGUAGACACACAACAACAAGCCAAGGACUUGCACAUCUUGUUGGUUUACCUCUGACCAGCCUUGACCUUACCAACUACAUCAAUGUGGGGGAUGAAGGCUUGAUACACAUAGGGAAGAUAACAAGUCUAAAGAAGCUUCUUCUCAAUAACACCAAGAUAACAGAUGAAGGCAUGCUGUACCUGGAGGGUCUGGUGAACUUGGAAACACUCUUUCUCGACCGAACACUGGUGUCUGAUGUCGGAGCGUCUCGUAUGAAAGCUUUCACCAAGCUGGAAGAACUGAGUCUUUCAUCCACAUGUAUUACAAGCCAGUUCCUGUGUAGUGGGUGCCUCAACUCCUGCCACCUCCUGAGCAAGCUCAACCUCAGCAGGACCAGCGUGUCCGACAAAGGAAUUCGCUCCCUGAAGUUGAUGUCCUUGACUCUCCUCAACCUGGAUGGCACCCACGUCCAUCCUGAAAUCAUUUCAGUUGUGCAGAGUAACUGUCCAAACAUCCGCAAUAUCACCCUGGCCAGUCUCAACCCAGUCAGAGAAGAGGAGGAGGAUAUGGAGGUGUGAGGAGAUACGGGAAGAUGUGAGGAGAUACCGGAAGAUGCGAGGAGAUAUGGGAAGAUGCGAGGAGAUACGGAAUAACAUAGGAUAUAUGUGUGAGGAGCUACAGGAAGAUGUGAGGAGAUAUUGGAAGAUGCGUUGUGGUAUAUUGUGUGACAUUGACAAUGGGAGUUUUCAUGUACCAUGAUUAACUAUGUGACAGGGUUCCAGGUACCAGAUUUGUGUUGAAAACAUGCAACUAGUUUUCCUGAUGGCAUUGGUGUGAUGCCAUUCAUUAAAUCUGUCAUUAGAAGUAAUUUACAUGAUAUUGUUGAAAUAAACGUCAUUAAAAAUGUAAAAGAACUUUGAUGCCACCUGUAGCACACAAUACUUCUGUCUUCUUUCAGUGUAUCGUUUGAUUCUUUAUGGACAGUGGGGUAGCAUAGUUUUUAAAAUGUUCGCUCGUCAUGCCGAAGACCCGGGUUCGAUUCCUGACAUGGGUACAAUGUGUGAAGCCCAUUUCUCGUGUCCCCCACCAUGAUAUCGCUGGAAUAUUGCAAAAAAACAUAAAAUCAUACUCACUCACAUACUUUGGACAAUAACUAACCCCUACAAACCCCCUCCAGUCUGUUGAGUAUUUCUCAACCAGUGAGUAGAUGUAUUUUAAAAAUAAUUUGACUUAAAUUGCCAUCUUUGCACACACAAAUACUAUGUUUGUGCCACUUGUGGAUUUCACUCCUGCUGAUGUUUGGUAGCCUUCUGAAGGUAAUGGCCCAUCUAUAACCUACCCAGAAUUUUUAUCUUUACCACACCCCUCUCUUCCAGAUUCUAUCUGUCAAAUAAGUGUCUAAAAUGCAAAGGGAACCUCACCUUAGUGUUUGUAAGAUGUGUGGAUGCUCAGACGUUCACAUUGUGAUGUGUGUGAGGCAGGUUGUGUGAGAUGCUGGAAUGAUACGAGACAGAAUUGUAGAGGAUGUGCAAGUGCAUGUGUGUGUGAGGUCAGACCUAAUGAUCCACGUAAGUAUUGGUCUGAUAGGUGGAACUUGUAGUUUAAUUUAUUUGACAAUGAAGACAGUUUAAAUAGGGAUCGCUAUUCCCCAUGCAGAGUUGUGUCCCUUUGCCCUUACAGGAUCUGGCUGUAGCAUGUGUAGUGGGCCUGAUUAGGAUUCUAUGUCUGACCUGUGUUACUUCAGGCUUUUCUCACACAUUAUGCUGACAUGCCAUGGUAUAAUUGAUAGAUAGUUCAAAGUGGUGUCACGCCAACUCAAACACUCGAGGAUUGUGUACCCUUUAUUGAUAUUUGCCGACACGUGCAUGACCAGAUUUCUUUUUCUUCCCAGUAGUGAAAAAAAAAUUAAGAUUUUCCUCAUUUACAUUUCUUAACAACCAUUAUGAUUUGGGCUGAAGUACGGUAUUCUGAACCAAAUUCCGCCAGUAUGAUUCAGUGAAAUAUAUUUUCAAUGUUGUAUAGUGUACAUUGCCAGUUAUUUAAAUGGAUGUUAAUGCCCGACAGGCAUUGCAACGUACACAACCAAUAAUCUAAAAAGUAUGACGAUGUCGUGCUAUUGUUCUUGCAGUUGAAUCUGAGCCAGAAAUUAACUAACCAUUCUUAAACUUCCAUUUUAACAAGUAAAACUGAUGCAACUAUAGGUCAUUAUACAAAAUUGAAGAGAAAUCCUAUGUCAUUAAUAACAUGGUUGAAGUCAGAGUAAUCUCUUGAAUCUGUUGAUUCUGAAAGUAGAAUCAAUGUGCCAGGAGGGGCUUGUUGAUACUUUUCCUGGAAUAGACAGAAUCAGUUGAUGCUUGUGAUGGGAAUCUGGCUGAUAAGGCACAAUGCCAAAAAACAGUUAUUUCACCACAAUCCAUACAGUUUGUCAUUCUAAUUGUUACUGUUUUUCUUUUUAAUUACUAUUAAGGCUUAACCUUGAUCUUCCGAAUUGCCUAAAUUUGGGAUUGGCACAUUUUCUCUUAUUUAUUCUACGAAUGGGGAAGGUACCUUUAUCUAAAUGGCAAAAGUCUCUUGCUAAAAUCUAAACUUUACUUUUCUUUACAAAACUUCAUUGAUUUUUUUAAUUUCUGUAUAUCAAUUAAUUUCUUCAUUGUGAUAUAUAAAUAUUUUUAUGAUCAUUUUAUUUUGAUGAAUUAUUUAUAUUUAUGAGGAUUUAAGCUAUACAGGUUAAAAAUGUUUUUUUAGAGUCAUCUGAAGAUCUUUGUGUGGAAAUUAGAAGUAGGAUAUUAAACUGAGGACAAGAUGCUAUGAAUGAUGAACUUAUUCAUUACAAUUUCAUGGCAAAUAGUUGCAAGAUUUCUGAGCAGCAUUAAGCAAUUGCUACAAUUGAAUUGAAGAAUUUGAUCAUUCAUACUCUCUUGUUAUCUGUAUAUAUCAAGAGUAAGUGUUUUUGUGUUUGAGCUCUUAUCAUAGUUGUUAACUGAUACACCUGGAACACAAAGUCUUUAUAUCUGAAAUUUACUUUCAAUUAUUGUGCUUCUCAUCUCAUAUAUUCCUUAAAACUUUCCUGUCAACACCCACAUGAGAAGUGUAGGUUUGUUUUCUGGUGCCUGAUGUUUAAUACUGAUCUGUUAAAGGCCUAAAGUUAAAUUAUACUGUUGUUAUUUAUUAUGCAUACGUCCUGUAAAAGGAUAAAUCCCACACCUUACAACAAAUAAAAAGAAACCAACAACAUUGAUUUCAACAUCGCAAGGGGAACAAGACUCCUAACAAUCAUCAUUCCUAGAAUAGGACAAGGUAGGAUAUAGGCCCUUGUUGCCAAAUUGAAAAUUUCAAAUUUGGUCUUUAAAGUAAGUCUGAAAAUAAAACAUCAAAGCAGAGAAAAACCAGUAAUCUAUGGAAUAGGAUUCCUUUGGGAGUAAAAGGUAAAAUAGUGAAAAAGGUAAGCAUGUCCCCCCGAACACAAUUUGCAUAACACAUGUUAAAAAGGCCCACAGCGUGUGUUUUUUCUUUUGUCAUUGUUGCAAGCUUUUACUUCUGACUUGGGUCUCAUUCCACAAAGCAAAUGUAGUGGUAAGAUCGUAACUCCAAUACUUUAACAUAGACUCAUGACAGUCGUAGCUCUAUCAUCACUUUGUGGAACGGGGACCUGACAUUAACACAUGGUUCACAUGGUUGGAUGGAGUGAAGAAGGAUGACAUUUCACAC
rnacentral:misc_RNA from 1 species